CCUACUUUGAAACACUCUUUCAAGACCACACAGAGACCCACCCUAUUGUGAUACUGAAGGAUGUCAAGUUCACCGAACUCAGGAGCAUCAUCGAGUUCAUGUACAAGGGCGAGGUCGAGGUCGAGAAGAAUGAUCUGGACUCGCUCUUCUCGACCGCCGAGGGCCUGAUGAUCAGAGGGCUGACCGGGUCACGACCCGCCAUGGGCGGCAUCACGCCGCGCCAGCCGGCGCCCCCGGACGACCCCGUCCACCGAAAACGCCCAAAACCAGAGCCGUUCGAGG